rnacentral:rRNA from 1 species
UACGUAGGGUGCGAGCGUUAAUCGGAAUUACUGGGCGUAAAGCGUGCGCAGGCGGUUCGUUAAGUUCGAUGUGAAAGCCCCGGGCUCAACCUGGGAAUUGCAUUGGAAACUGGCGGGCUUGAGUGUGGCAGAGGGGGGUGGAAUUCCACGUGUAGCAGUGAAAUGCGUAGAUAUGUGGAGGAACACCGAUGGCGAAGGCAGCCCCCUGGGUUAACACUGACGCUCAUGCACGAAAGCGUGGGGAGCAAACAGG